ensembl:snRNA U6 U6 spliceosomal RNA
GUGCUCACUUCAGCAGCACAUAGAUUAAAAUUGGAACAAUACAGAGAAGACCAGUAUGCCCCUUGUGCAAGGAUGACAUGCAAAUUUGGGAAGUGAUUCCUUUUUUU